GUGCUUGCUUUGGCAGCACAUAUACUAAAAUUGGAACCAUACAGAGAAGAUGAGCA
rnacentral:snRNA from 1 species